rnacentral:rRNA from 1 species
UACAGAGGGUGCAAGCGUUGUUCGGAAUUACUGGGCGUAAAGGGCGCGUAGGCGGUUUGGUAAGUCAGAUGUGAAAGCCCGGGGCUCAACCCCGGAAGUGCAUUUGAAACUACCAGGCUAGAGUGCAGUAGAGAAUGGCGGAAUUCCCAGUGGAGAGGUGAAAUUCGUAGAUAUUGGGAGGAACACCGGUGGCGAAGGCGGCCAUUUGGGCUGUAACUGACGCUGAGGCGCGAGAGCGUGGGUAGCAAACAGG